rnacentral:rRNA from 1 species
GCUUGUCUCAAAGAUUAAGCCAUGCAUGUCUAAGUAUAAACAACUUUAUACUGUGAAACUGCGUACAGCUCAUUAUAUCAGUUAUAAUUUAUUUGAUGGUGAUUUACUACAUGGAUAACCGUGGUAAUUCUAGAGCUAAUACAUGCGUAAGAUCCUGACUAACGAAGGGACGUAUUUAUUAGAUAAAAACCAAUGCCUCGUGCUUUUGGUGAGUCAUGAUAACUGCGCGGAUCGCAUGGCCUUGCGCCGGCGACGCUUCAUUCAAAUUUCUGCCCUAUCAACUUUCGAUGGUAAGAUAGAGGCUUACCAUGGUGUUAACGGGUAACGGGGAAUUGGGGUUCGAUUCCGGAGAGGGAGCCUGAGAAAUGGCUACCACUUCCAAGGAAGGCAGCAGG